UCCUCCGUGCGUCGUGUUCCUCAGUGAA
rnacentral:sRNA from 1 species